rnacentral:lncRNA from 1 species
GUGUGGUAUUUUAAAUUUGCAAAGAACGGAAAAACAAGAGGAGAAAAAAAAAAAAAAAAAUAUUAUUAUUAACAAAUCGACAGAUACUAACAGAAUUAUGUAUUUUUAUUUUUAUUUUUUUCUAUGUUUAUAUGAAAUACAUACAAAAUAUAUUUUUGUGCAAUCAAUAAGUGUUACGUUGGGAAACGAGGACAAUGAAGAUACAAUGUGUAAUGAUAAGGACGAAACUGAAAAUGGCACAUAUAUAAACACGUUGAACGAUGACGAUAAAAAAAAAAUCACAGAAUCUAAAAAUGCAUUGUUCGACAUGUCUGUUUAUGUGACUCUUUUUGAAACGUUUGAAUUAUGCGUAAAUUAUACAUACGAAGAAAAUUUCAUUAAAAGAGUUAUAGUAAAUCGUAUGAGUGAGGUAUGUAAUGCGAAUAAGGAAGAGAUGAAUCCCUCGGCCGACAUUGUGAGUAGUGGCGAUAUGGAAAACUUGAGGGUUAUCUCAAACAACAGCAAACAAGCAAAUUGUUACGGUAUCCAAAUGGACAACAUUACCCAAAUGGACAACAUUACCCAAAUGGACAACAUUACCCAAAUGAACCAAAUGAACCAAAUGAACCAAAUGAACCAAAUGAACCNNNNNNNNNNCCAAAUGAACCAAAUGAACCAAAUGAACCAAAUGAACCAAAUGAACCGAAUGAACCAAACGAACCGAAUGAACAAUUUUAUUCCAAUUAAUAGCAUUGAGAGUUUGAAGUUGAAUAAUUCAUUUAUAAAGCUACUAAAGAAUAUUAGUAGCAAUUGUAACGAUUCUAUAAAAUUAAAAAAAAAAAAAAUUCUGUUUUAUAUUGGAAAAAAAAAUAUAUUAACUAAUAUGGUAUCACUUUAUAUAAAGGAAAUUGUAAUGUUAUUGAAGGUGGGUCUAGCGAUAGAUAAUAUAUGUGAAAGAAAAAUCACGACAUGUAGUAACAUUAGUAGUAACAUUAGUAGUACUAAAUGUGACAGUGACAAGCAAAACAACCGUGAUAAGCAACUGACAGAUGGUUUUAUUUCCAAAUAUAUUCAAUGUAAACUAAAAAAUAUGCUCAAUCGUAUCUUUAUCACAUUUGAUAAGAAAAAGAAAACACAGCUACUACAA